rnacentral:lncRNA from 1 species
GGGACGGCUUGGCUCAGAGCUGCUCACAGCCCGGGCCAGGGCUUACGAGCUCCCGCGCCCUGCUAACAGGUUACAGUGCAAGAGGGAUGCACACGGCAAACAGGAUCAGGGAUUUAAAGCGAAAAAGAGAGUGAAGCGUGCAGGGCAUCUGUGCAGGGCUGCCCUGCAGACUCAGGGAGCCCUCGGCGCGCUGCUCGCAUCCCAAAUCCAGGGGUUUUCCAGGCGGGCGGUCCCGGCGGGGCAGCGCUGCCCCCCAGCGCCGGGAGCCGCCCGCGCUCAGCCCCGGCCAGGACCGGCUGCGGACCGCGCACGGCUUUCCUGGGAGCAGAACUGCAGUAAGGACAUACAGAGAGCUUCGUGCUCACAGAUCUAUAUACAUUCUAUUCAUAUAUCUAUAGAGCUAUGCCCAUAUCACAGAUGUGCUCAGCCCCGGCCAGGACCGGCCAGGACCGCGCACGGCUUUCCUGGGAGCAGAACUGCAGAUUAACCAGAAAUUUGCCAUGUGCUGGCUGGGCUCCAGUGCCUGUGACACAAAACUGCAUCCCCACCAGCUCUGCAAAAGGAUAUUGUGUGCCAGGAUUUUCCCUGAGCUUUCAGAAAGAUCUCACACCAGACCUUAAGGAUGACUCAGCAAACAAUCCUUACCUCUCCUACAUCCCCUCACAGAAGGGAAACUAAUCCAGAGGCCUAAAUCACAAAGAAAAAAACCUCAGAAACCAUGCAGUCAUACAGCAUCAUGGAAAACCCAGACACUUGGAAAAAAUGGAAGAGCUGGAAGAGAAGGAGCAGUGCAAGGAGUUAGCCAAGUCACAGUGUGGAAAAGAUAAGCUGCUUCAGGAAGAAGACAGUGCUCUCCAUGAGCAGGCAGAGCAAAUUGUAUUUCCCUCUGAUUUAAUUAAGGCAAAGAACAACUUCAGGGAUCCCUCAGACUUGUUUCUUUUAUUAGGAGAUUAAAUGACAAAGUAUGUGGACAACUGCUUUGAUAUACUACAGUAAUUUGGAGGUUCCUAAGUCACAAAUUGCAUUAAAACAAGGACAUGUUAACACAGUGUGUGGCACAUUUUGAAAUAAACAUAUUGGGAUUAGACCA